rnacentral:rRNA from 1 species
UACGGAGGGUGCAAGCGUUAUCCGGAUUUACUGGGUUUAAAGGGUGCGCAGGCGGAUAUGUAAGUCAGUGGUGAAAUCUUUGGGCUUAACCCGAAAAUUGCCGUUGAUACUAUAUAUCUUGAAUGCUGUGGAGGUAAGCGGAAUAUGUCAUGUAGCGGUGAAAUGCUUAGAGAUGACAUAGAACACCUAUUGCGAAGGCAGCUAACUACGCGAAUAUUGACGCUGAGGCACGAAAGCGUGGGGAUCAAACAGG